UUUAGGUCGAACCCGCUGAAUUUAAGCAUAUUAAUAAGCGGAGGAAAAGAAACUAACAAGGAUUCCUCUAGUAACGGCGAGUGAAGCGGGAAAAGCCCAGCGCUGAAUCCCCUCGCAUAUAGCGGGCGGGAAAUGUGGCGUACAGGAAGCCGAUUGCCGUCGUGCUCUGACGUCCAAGUCCUCCUGAUCGUGGCCUUACCCACAGCGGGUGUCAGGCCCGUCAUGGCAUCGGACGCGUCGCCUUCGAGCUUCCUUGGAGUCGGGUUGUUUGGGAAUGCAGCCCAAAGCGGGUGGUAAACUCCACCUAAGGCUAAAUACUGGCACGAGUCCGAUAGCGGACAAGUACCGUGAGGGAAAGUUGAAARGAAMUUUGARGAGAGAGUUCAAGAGUACGUGAAACCGCAUAGCGGCAAACGGGUGGAUCCGCAAUGUCGACCCGGGGAAUUCAGCUCGGAGUGUCCGUGCUACCGCGUGGCAUGGGAUCCUUUAUGGACCUCGCCGCGCGGGCCUUGCACGGCUCUCCGGGUGCACUUUCUCCGGGCCGAGUGCCACGACCGUUUCUGCGUGCAGUCAGAUGCCCGUCGGGAAGGUGACCGUCCCCUGGACGGAGUUAUAGCCCGGCGGUGCGGACUUGCCGCGGGACCGAGGACGCUUGCCGCGUCUGUGGGCCCCCGGACCAGCUCCCUUGCUCGACUGUGGCGGACUGUUUUUGCAGUGCGUCGCGACCGCUGGGGAGCGUCAGUCCGGGUAAGUCCCAGGCGCCCUUGGUCGGUGGCGAAUCGGUCGSUCCYCGGYAMCMGACCCGUCUUGAAACACGGACCAAGGAGUCUAACAUGUGCGCGAGUCAUGGGGUGCAACGAAACCCAAAGGCGCAAUGAAAGUGAAGGCAGUCUCCGACUGGCCUAGGCAGGACCCCGCCGCUCGCGGUGGGCGCACUGCCGGCCCGUCUCGACAGCGUCGUCUGCGAGGCGGAGCAAGAGCGUACACGUUGGGACCCGAAAGAUGGUGAACUAUGCCUGAGUAGGGCAAAGUCAGAGGAAACUCUGAUGGAGGUCCGCAGCGAUUCUGACGUGCAAAUCGAUCGUCAGACUUGGGUAUAGGGGCGAAAGACUAAUCGAACCAUUUAGUAGCUGGUUCCCUCCGAAGUUUCCCUCACGAUAGCUGGUAUCGUAAUGAAGUUUUAUCCGGUAAAGCGAAUGAUUAGAGGUCUUGGGGACUAAAUGACCUCAACCUAUUCUCAAACUUUAAAUGAGUAAGAAGUCCGACUCGCUCAAGUGAGCCGGACCCUAGAGAAUUCAAGGUGCCAGUGGCCACUUUUGGUAGCAAACUGCGCUGUGGAUGACAACGCCCGUAGCACCGAUGCUGACGCUCAUGAGAUACAUAAAGUGUCGNUGAUACAGAACGGCAGGACGGUGGUCAUGCAGUCGAUCGGCUAGGAGUGUGUACACUCACUGCGAUCACUAGCUGANAGNNGAGGAUGGGCGCUAUAAA
rnacentral:rRNA from 1 species